AUUGAACGCUGGCGGCAUGCCUUACACAUGCAAGUCGAACGGUAACAGGUCUUCGGAUGCUGACGAGUGGCGAACGGGUGAGUAAUACAUCGGAACGUGCCCGAUCGUGGGGGAUAACGAAGCGAAAGCUUUGCUAAUACCGCAUAAGAUCUACGGAUGAAAGCAGGGGACCGCAAGGCCUUGCGCGAACGGAGCGGCCGAUGGCAGAUUAGGUAAUUGGUGGGAUAAAAGCUUACCAAGCCGACGAUCUGUAGCUGGUCUGGGAGGACGACCGGCCACACUGGGACUGAGACACGGCCCAGACUCCUACGGGAGGCAGCAGUGGGGAAUUUUGGACAAUGGGCGAAAGCCUGAUCCAGCCAUGCCGCGUGCAGGAUGAAGGCCUUCGGGUUGUAAACUGCUUUUGUACGGAACGAAAAGACUCUUUCUAAUAAAGAGGGUCCAUGACGGUACCGUAAGAAUAAGCACCGGCUAACUACGUGCCAGCAGCCGCCGUAAGAC
rnacentral:rRNA from 1 species